CAAUAGCGUAUAUUGAAGUUGUUGCGGUUAAAAAGCUCGUCGUUGGAUUUCUGUUGAGGUCGAACAGUGCCGCCCUAUGGGAGCGCAACUGGCUCGGCUUCGGCAUCUUCUUGGAGAGCGCAUCUGCACUUAACUGUGUGGAUCGUACUUCAAGUCAGUUACUUUGAGGAAUUGUGAGUGUUUCAAGCAGGCUUACGCCGUUGAAUCCGUUAGCAUGGAAUAAUAGAAUAGGACCUCGGUUCUAUUUUGUUGGUUUUGAGAGCUGGGGCAGCGAUUGAUAGGGACGGAUGGGGGCGUCCGAACUUUACUGUCAGAGGUGAAAUUCUUAGAUCGGUCAAAGGCGAACUACUGCGAACGCAUUCGCCAAGAAUGUUUUCUUUAA
rnacentral:rRNA from 1 species